rnacentral:rRNA from 1 species
CACGUAGGCGGACUUGUCAGUCAGGGGUGAAAUCCCGGGGCUCAACCUCGGAACUGCCUCUGAUACAGCAAGCCUUGAGUCCGGAAGAGGUGGGUGGAAUUCCUAGUGUAGAGGUGAAAUUCGUAGAUAUUAGGAAGAACACCGGUGGCGAAGGCGGCCCACUGGUCCGGUACUGACGCUGAGGUGCGAAAGCGUGGGGAGCAAACA